GUGAUUCCUUCUAUUCUUGUUGCCCAUCCCUGGAGGGGAAGUGUCAUCUCCUGCAGCUCAAGGAUGGGUUGCUUCUCACUUGGUGAUAAAACAGAGAAGGUGACCAGUAGGUCAAGAAUAAAGAGCUGUAUGGUGGCCCUUUGACACCCCGGGCUGAUGCAGGUUAAAAGGAAUCUGGCAUGGAGUUCUAGAGCCACCAAGUCCUGCACAAGUCCAAGGGCCAAAUCCAGACCAGUUUUUUUAAAAAAGAAUGUGGCCCAGAGAUAAGUGAAGGUCAGCUUCACUCUAGAAGAGUCAGAGAGAGGGGGAAACCCGCAGCCCUAGAACGUCUGUCUUGGAAUGCAGUAGCCACAAAGAGAACUGCUUGAAGUACGAGAACCAAAUCUCAGCCAUCUCAAGGGCAGAAAGACAACUAAGACCAGAAGCUUUCUGAGGGUGCAUCUCCAGUCUUUUGCAAAACAUGCCUCCAAAG
rnacentral:lncRNA from 1 species